UUGAAAGGGAAACGAUUGAAGUCAGUCGUACCGACGAGAAAUCAACUUAUCGUGUGCGAACUUGUGGGCGUGCGUGAGUUUCGGCCUCGCUGUUUGCAUGUUUGUGCGCUUUGGGUGUACUUUUUCGUAUGGUAGGCCAACGUCAGUUUCGAUUAUCAUAAAAUGACCGGCGGAAUGUAGCUUCGAUUUCGGUUGAAGUGUUAUAGCCUCUGGUAGAUGUGGUGAUUGGGACUGAGGAUUGCAACGAAUACCCUUUGGGCUAUCCGUCUGACCUCUGAAAGUUGCUCAGGUGCCGAAAGCGUGCUUACGGUCAUCUAAGAUAACGUUCAACAGGCUAGAACGUGAUUACAUUCGUUAAGGAUGUUGACGUA
rnacentral:rRNA from 1 species